rnacentral:rRNA from 2 species
UAGAGGAAGUAAAAGUCGUAACAAGGUUUCCGUAGGUGAACCUGCGGAAGGAUCAUUACCGAGUGAGGGCCCUUUGGGUCCAACCUCCCACCCGUGUUUAUUUACCUUGUUGCUUCGGCGGGCCCGCCUUAACUGGCCGCCGGGGGGCUUACGCCCCCGGGCCCGCGCCCGCCGAAGACACCCUCGAACUCUGUCUGAAGAUUGUAGUCUGAGUGAAAAUAUAAAUUAUUUAAAACUUUCAACAACGGAUCUCUUGGUUCCGGCAUCGAUGAAGAACGCAGCGAAAUGCGAUACGUAAUGUGAAUUGCAAAUUCAGUGAAUCAUCGAGUCUUUGAACGCACAUUGCGCCCCCUGGUAUUCCGGGGGGCAUGCCUGUCCGAGCGUCAUUGCUGCCCUCAAGCCCGGCUUGUGUGUUGGGCCCCGUCCUCCGAUUCCGGGGGACGGGCCCGAAAGGCAGCGGCGGCACCGCGUCCGGUCCUCGAGCGUAUGGGGCUUUGUCACCCGCUCUGUAGGCCCGGCCGGCGCUUGCCGAUCAACCCAAAUUUUUAUCCAGGUUGACCUCGGAUCAGGUAGGGAUACCCGCUGAACUUAAGCAUAUCA